rnacentral:tRNA from 1 species
GCAUUAGUGGUUGAAUGGUAGAAUUCUUGCCUCCCAUGUGAGAGAACUGGGUUCAAUUCCUGGCCAAUGCA